AUGGUCACUGCUUCCACUGCGCUCUCCGUCGCCGCCCUGGUGGCCGGCGUGACGCUGAUGCUCAUCGUCCACGUCCUCGUGAUCUUCUGGGCUCUGCGGCGGGGCGCCGCCCAGGCCUCCAGCGCCGACCUGGAGCGUGCCGUGGACGACGCCUGCGGAGGCAAAGGCAAGGGCCUGUCGGCCGAGGAGCUCGAAGCGCUGCCGUGCCACGACUUCAAAGCUGCCGUCGGAGGCGGCGGGGACUGCGCCGUGUGCCUGGAAGCGUUCGAGUCCGGCGACCGGUGCAGGCGGCUCCCGAGGUGCGAGCACAGCUUCCACGCGCCGUGCGUCGACUCGUGGCUGAAGAAGAGCCAGUGCUGCCCCGUGUGCCGCGCCGACGUGGUUGACCGGCCCAAGGCCGAGGCGGAGGUGGCUGGAGAGGGAGAGGUGCCGGCUCUGACGGUGGAGAUGGCGGAGAGGACAAACCCCGCCGCGCUGGAGGUCGUCGUCGAAAGGCUGCAACGGUAUAGCUGGGGCCCUCAUGCUGUGACCGUGUUACACUAA
rnacentral:rRNA from 1 species